rnacentral:lncRNA from 1 species
AAAAGAAAGCCUAAAACACACUUCACCAUUCGACCAUUCCAUAGUCACAUUCACGAGAACAAAAAUCAGAUUGACCAAACCUAAUUCCUAAAUCAUAAAUCUCACUCUCAAUCUCAAACGUUGCCUCCACACCAUAUACCAUAUUGGUCGUCGCUGCCGACUGCUGCCCCAAUUCCAUGACUGCUGACCUUUGUUGACCCAUCAUCCUCCUCCUUUGGGCUCCAACCAUCAAUCUCCAAGUCCAACCCUUGCUCCAUCAUAGCUCCAUCAGCUCCUUCUACUUCUACAGCUCAGCCUCCACAACCUCAUCAUGCUUCUAAUUCACAACCACAGGCUACAACGGUUCCUUCUGCUGCUUCUACACCAGUAGUUCCCACCUACAAAGUAAAAAAAAAAAGACAAUAUAAACUAAGAUCAACUCUAUGGAUCACUUUGAAACAAUUUCAGGAUGGAGACGAAGAAAAAAGGGCUGAGUGUAUUUUCCGCCAUACUGUUUUUUGGCCAACUGACGAAAAACUAACAUGUCCUCUUUAA